AACGAACGCUGGCGGCGUGUUUAAGACAUGCAAGUCGCACGGGAUAAGACAUGUAGUAAUACUUGUUUUAUUUAGUGGCGCACGGGUGAGUAACACGUGAAUUACAUGCCCUAUAGUGGGGAAUAGCCCAGGGAAACUUGGAUUAAUAUCCCAUGGUAUCGAAAGAUUAAAGGUGGCCGCAAGGCUGUCGCUAUAGGAUUGGUUCGCGCCCUAUCAGCUUGUUGGUGAGGUAACGGCUCACCAAGGCGAUGACGGGUACCUGGUCUGAGAGGACGAUCAGGCACACUGGAACUGAGACACGGUCCAGACACCUACGGGUGGCAGCAGUCGAGAAUAAUUCACAAUGGGGGCAACCCUGAUGGUGCAACGCCGCGUGGAGGAUGACGGUCUUCGGAUUGUAAACUCCUGUCAUCUGGGAGAAAGACCUGACGGUAAAUAGCCGGCAGGGUUGAUAGUACCAGAAGAGGAAGGGACGGCUAACUUCGUGCCAGCCGCCGCAGUAA
rnacentral:rRNA from 1 species